UUGCUUGUCAUCUGUUCAGUAGCACAUUGACUUUCAGUGCUGCCAAAGUAAACGACGAGAUCAUGAGCUCGCUCAUAACGCAAAGAGAGGAGUUUUGGAUCAUUUUAUCCUUGAUUACGCACCAAUGAAAACAAAGUGGUGAGCGAAGGUCACCUUUCGAUAAAGAGUUAAGGCAUUGCUUUUCAUCAACGGUAUUUCUUUCCAUCGGGAGAUAGAGUUUAGAUCAAUUAAAUUAAAUAUCAAGAAAAAAUUGAUAGUGUUAUAGUUAAGGCUAAAUUUGCUAGGCAUCCCCAUCCAAUACACAACACUACGCCUUGAGCACAUGUUCACACCACGCUAUCCUAAAAAAACUGACACACCCUAUUACCACCCACCACAUCUGAGAACAUCAUAGACGAUCAUACCACACAAUGACACACCACACAUACAAUCAACAUGAGGCUUGGAAUUUCACUGCUAUCAUUGUAUAAACCUACAUUCGAUUAGACAACGGUCAUGCCCGACACAGCUUUUCCCACGCAAUGAGAUUAUCACCGCACCACCCGUGGACAUCCUAUAUUAAUUUGUUAAAAUUGAAAUUUCAGUUGUUUCAAUGAAAUUGUCACAAUAAUUCUGAACGAAUAUACAUAUGUCCCCCCAAAAUUAAACGGGCAUUUUUAUUUAAUAUCUUAAAUGCGGGACUGAGAUCUUAACCUUCAACUAAAUUGCUGUGCCCUGCCCAAUAAAUUGGGUAUUAACUCUUUUUCUGCAUUUUCUUUCAUAUCACAUUCUAAAAUUCUUGUACGCUUUAUGUGCGCGGUGUACGUAAAUAUAUUUGAUUAAAAAUUUCUAUUGCAUUGUAGACUUAUACAUUCAUCUUUGCAUUUUACAUACAAAAAUAGAUAAUCAAAUUCAAAUUUUCAAAAAUAUUGUAUAUAUUAAUCUGAAACGGAGCGCUAUUACGGCCAUGAAAAUAAUUCGAAAUGAAACGGAAUGCCGAAUUGCAUAGCAACGAACUGGAACGAACAAGAACAUAGAGCGUUCUAGUACAUCGUUCCGAUGAAAGUCGGGUCUAUAACCGGAACGGGCCCGGAUUUUUAUCCGGCCAAGGACUUUCAACUGCAGAAUUCUGCCGCUACAACAACAACAACAACAACAACUUCUAGUACCAUUCUAGUAUCAAUAGCGCGGUCCCUCAUCUUCUCGCUAAAGAACCAUUUUGGGAGACGAAAAGAGUCCUUGUGUGAACAUAGUAUUACAAUUUUUUACCUGUGCGUAAUCAGUUGACUUAUCGAAUUUUUUUGAGAGUUUAGUCUAGUAUUGUUAUAACAAUAAACAAAAUUGCACGGGUUAAGAGAAACAAGUAUUUUUAAAGUUCGUGUUUGAAAUAUUCUAAAAGGGUCAAGUUAUCAGAAAUGUCGAUUGUAAAUAUUCUCAAAAGAGCAUCAAGUCGUAUUUUGGGGGUUGAUAAAUCCAUUGAAAAAGUUGAUGUUUAUGAGGACAACGAGGUUUUGUUUUGCAAAAAUAAUGUUUGCAUACACCCACCAAUUUCUAUACGACAAGAAUCCGAAUUGAUUCACUAUCCAGGAUAUUUGACUGUUACAUCGAAAACUUUCGUGGAUCAAUUUAAUAAAGCGAGCCGGUCGACGUUGUUACUCACGUGGAUCCCUAACUCCUCACUUUGUGAAUCGAAGUCAGAAGAAAAAAAGUUCUAUCAAAACUUACAUUGCGAAGUAUUUGAUAGGAAUGGAACCCAACCAACAUACGAUAUAGGGGUUCCAAAUGGAUUUGGAAAUGAAAGAAUUGUUAAGGACGAACAGAAAAGGGAAAUAUAUGGCUCCAAUAUUGAUAUUCAGGAGCUUAAAAAUGAGCUACAGCCUCUACUAGGUGAAAAUUUAAAUUCGAUACGUGAUAUUAAUGUUUUACUGAAUAGAAGUCUUAUUACAUCAGUUAAUAUAACAAUUUCCAAUCCACAUAUUGAGAAUAUCAAUGUAAAGGAUUCCAUAAACAGCGUUGUAACCGAUAUAAAUAAGUUAUAUCUUAAUCGUGAAUAUUAUUUAUCCGAUGAUAUUGAUCUUUAUAAUGCGCCUUCGAGUUUAUUAACGCUACAACACAGGCCAAAGUCAUGUCUCGAAUAUUCAGUUCCUCGAAAAAAAACAAAUUGUCGGCGAUUUUCCGUCGACCUGAGUCAAAUGCGUUCAUUGCGUUUGUUUUUCAAUGACAAUAAUUGUACUUCCGGGCAACUGGUAAUUUCGUCAAGAGAGUCCCAGUAUAAAAUACUUCACUUUCAUCAUGGUGGUUUGGAUCAUUUAGCGCAGGUUCUUCAUCAAUGGCACGGUUUUCUGCACAACAUUGCAUUUACACAUGGACAACACCAACAGAACUUACCGUAUCGUCAAUUCAUGGUAUGCCGCCCAGAGAUAAAGAAGCGUGAAUUGCAUCCGGACGAAGGCAGCGUAAGAAAAAUAACUACCAAUUUCUUUUAUGGAACUUUAAUUAAUAUAAAAGGACAAAUCGAAGAUGAUUUGCUUCUUCGCAAAUGUGUUUUUUUUGGCGGUUUGGAGAAAGGCUUACGAAGAACUAUAUGGCCUUUCUUAUUAAAAUGUUACUCGUUCUCAUCAACAUUUGACGACCGGGCUGUUCUUAUGGAUAUUAGAAAGCAAGAAUAUGAAGAAAUAACUCGUAAGCGCUUAUAUUCGAUGUCGCCAGAAGAACAAAUUCAUUUCUGGAAGUCGGUGCAAUGUGUUCUAGAAAAAGAUUUAGCAAGAAUAGAUCGCUCCAAUGCAUUUUUUUAUGGAGACGAUAAUCCAAACAGAGAAAUUAUGGAGAACAUUUUGUUGAACUAUGCAUUUCAUAAUGCAGGAAACAGUUAUUCGCAGGGAAUGAGCGAAUUAUUAGCUCCAGUAUUAUGUGAAAUACAAAGUGAAUCGGAGACGUUUUGGAGCUUUGUAGGGUUACUACAACGUUCUCUGUUUGUCUGUUCACCUACCGACGCAGAUAUUGACAAAAACUUAAACUAUUUGAGGGAACUAAUCCGCAUUAUGCUGCCUCGGCUCUAUGAACAUUUGCAAUGUCAUAGCAGUUCAAUGGAGCUACUGUUUUGCCACCGAUGGCUAAUUUUAUGUUUCAAACGCGAGUUCACCGAAUCAGUAGUUAUCCGAAUGUGGGAAGCGUGUUGGUCCAAUUAUCUUACCGAUUAUUUUCAUUUAUUUUUGUGUCUGGCAAUUAUUGCCGUUUAUGCCGACGAUGUAGUGGCUCAGGAUUUGCGGGCAGAUGAAAUGUUAUUUUAUUUUAGUUCACUCGCUAUGUAUAUGGAUGGAGAAUUAAUUCUACAAAAAGCCCGUGGUCUGUUAUAUCAAUAUCGCCAAUUGUCAAAAAUACCUUGUACUUUAAGUGGCUUAUGCAAAAGAUGUGGUCCUGGUAUGUGGGAUUCCGAACACUGUCCAGCUUUGGAAUGUGUCGGUCAUUCGCACAAUGACAAGUGUCCAUUGGAUAUUGAUUGAACUAAAUGCUUACAAUGCAUUCCAAAAAUUCUAAGAUUCUAAUACUAGAUAUUCUGCUUGCGUUUUUAGUUAGAGAUUAGUGUUACCAGGAAUUUAACGCCUAUGACGUCUGUUUGUUAUUAUUUAUAUAUUAGGUCAAGUAAAAAGUUCGUUCGGUUUUUAUCUAAGAGAUGGCGUUAUUGUCCAUAGUACUAGUGUUACGUGUCGCGUCAUGUCAUACUAUACGGCGCUGAAAACGUGUUUAUUCGCGCUAAAAGUUUAUUUUUGACAGUUUUUCGAUUGCUUGACUUAGUACGUUGUGAGCAUUCGUCGAAAUGGACACCAGCAAAGAAAAAAUUCGCGUUAUUUUACAAUUUUUCUUUGAUCAAGGCCAAAAAACAGCCAAAGCGGCUGAAAAAAUUAAUUUAGUUUAUGGGCCCGAUACUGUAAACGAACGUGUAGCACAAAAGUGGUUUGCUAGGUUCCGUUCCGGUAAUUUCGAUGUCAAAGAUGCACCACGCGUCGGGAGGCCUGUCGUCGAAAAUUGCGAUAAAAUUAUGGAAAUAGUGGAAACAGACCGUCAUGUGAGCACUUAUUUAAUUGCUGAGAAACUAAAGAUAAGCUCGAUGUUUGGGUGCCACCGAACUAACACAAAAAAACAUGAUGGACCGAAUUUCCAUCUGCGAAUCGCUGCUGAAUCGCAACAAAAUCGACCCGUUUCUGAAGCGGAUUGUGACUGGCGAUGAAAAAUGGGUCACUUACGACAACAUCGAGUGCAAACGGUCGUGGUCAAAGCUCGGGCAAGCGGCCCAUCCGUGGCCAAGACCGGAUUGACGGCCAUAAAGGUUUUGCUGUGUGUUUGGCGGGAUUGGCAAGGAAUCAUCUACUACGAGCUGCUGCCCUAUGGCCAAACGCUCAAUUCGGUCCUCUACUGCCAACAACUGGACCGCUUGAAGGCAGCACUCAUCCAGAAGAGGCCAUCUUUGAUCAACAGAGGCCGACUUGUGUUCCAUCAGGACAACGCCAGGCCACACACGUCUUUGGUGACGCGCUAGAAGCUCCGGGAGCUUAGAUGGGAGGUCCUAAUGCACCCACUUUAUAGUCCGGACCUGGCACCAAGUGAUUACCAUUUUUUCCUGUCCAUGGCGAACGCGCUUAAUGGUGAGAAGUUGGCCUCAAGAGAGGCCUGUGAAAAUUGGCUCUCCGAGUUUUUUUGCCAAUAGGGACGCAGCCUUCUACGAGAGGGGUAUAAUGAAGUUGGCAUCUCGUUAGCAACAAAUUCACGAUCAAAACAGCACAUACUUGACUUAAAUUGGACAAUUGUACACAAAGUUAUAAUCUUGUGAAAAAUCAAUAAAAACCCGAACGAACUUUUUACUAAUAUAACAUAGCCUUAAUUAGUUAUACCCUUAACAGGGUCUAUUAAGUUUGCGAUGAAGUUUGUAACACCCAGGAGAAAACAUGGAAAUCCUAUAUUAUAUGUAUGUAUAUAAAUGAGUGUCCGUUUGUCUGUAUAUAUGCAAACAAGUCCCUCGGUUUCUGGGAUAUGGAUCUGAAAAUUUGUACUCGAAAUUUUCUCCCCGAACUACUAUAGCAUAUAGCUGCUAUCUUCGCGAAAUUUGGCAUGUAUUAUUGUCUAAGCCAAUUUACAAUCUCUGAAGAAAUCGUUCAGAUCGGAGCACUUUACCAUAUAGCUGCCAUACAAACUGAACGAUCACUCUCAAGUCCCUGUAUGUAAAACUUUUUUUAACAAAGAAUUUUCACGAAAUUUAUCAUAUAUGUACAUAUAUAGCUGCCAUACAAACUAAUCGAUCAGAAUCAAGUUCUUGUAAGGAAAACUUGAACCCGUUAAGAGUGCAGCCGAAGUUAAUGUUUAUCUUAUUUUGUUUUAAAUUUAAGGAAGCAAAUAUUUGUUAAUUAAGAAUAUAUUGUUGUAUUAUUAAAUAAUUGUAACAGUUUUUUUUAUUAAUAUUAUUAUAAAGAAAGGACAGAUUUUGAAAAAAAACUCUGUACAAGCAAAUAAAAUGUACACGGCGUGGAGUAUGCAGAGUAUUCCAAAAUUAACCAUAAUUGAUAAAAAAAAAUAUGCUUUGUCUUGUACUAGGAUAGCGUCAUAUUAUAUAAUCCAACUUGGGAAAAUAUCAGAAUAAGUGAAGAACCUAUGGAAGAUGAUUUUCGUAACUUCCUUAGUAAAGAAAUUAUAUGUAAAUUGUAUGUUGUGUUAUAACUUUUUUUCUUUGACUGUUCACUUGUUUUUAUAGUAGAUUCAUAUUAUAAAAUAUGGUUAUUAUUUACUGUUAUUCGAUUCCUUCUUAUUUAAUUCGUUGCAGCGUUUGUGACUAUUUCUUCGAAUUUAGUUAAAAGUAAUUAUAAGUGCAAAAGAAUAUAAGUUGAUUCUUCUUUUUUAGAGACGCGUCUAGAAUUGAGUAUACACCUCAAAGUAAAUAAAUAAUUUAAAAUAAAAAUAAAAAUUUUGUUAAUAGUUUGAAUCUGUAGUCAGACAAGCCGAGUGGAACAAGUCUUUUAGAGAUUGAGCAGGGACAAGAAUUGCAUGAAAAUGGUAUGGAGGUAAAAAAAAGUUGCACAGUACUAACCUGUCCUAGAACAAUUAGUAAUUUCCUCAAAAACCCUUUAAGGUAUGGUACUAAGAAUGAGAAUAUGUCAAAUUAUACAUCAAAAUCAUAGCAAAAACCCCUUUCUAUGGUAUUAUAACCCCACAUCUUAUGCCUAGACUUAUAAGUGCUUCUUUAGCGUUUGCAGAUAAGUACCAAUUUUGGCAGAAAGAUUGGCGAAGCUUGAUAUUCAGUGACGUAAAAAGUUCAAUUUCGGUGGAUCUGAUGGUCAUAUGAAUUAUUUUCACCAAACACAAAAUCCUCGGCGCACAUGUCUCCGUGGAGUACCCGGCGAAGGUUCUAAAAUGAUGUAGGAUGCCUUUUAUUAUGAAGAAAAAACUCUAAUAUGGACACCCAUAUUCGGAACUUGCUCGAUAGUGAAUUGGCAGAAUUUGCAAUUCAACUUUACAAAGACAAUCGGACUUUCCACAAUGUAACACUUACUAAAAGGUUUUUUUGAGUCCAGAAAAAUUCCGCUUUUGGAUUUUUCAGUAAAAAGGCCGGAUUUAAACUUUAUCAAAGAUCUGUGGGAAUAUUAUCGAUUGAUUUUUUAACAUGGACGCAGUUUAAUACCGCAAAAUUAUAAAAAUGGCAAUACAGCGAAAUGGCUUCAAUCGGAUGCAAAAUCUAAAAUCUUUGGUUGAACGAUGCCGUCUCGACUCAACCAAGUCAAACUAAUAAACGAAAAUAUUAAUUAUUGACAUGACAUUGAUUCAUCAAAUUAUUUGAAAAAUUAAAUAUUUCUUUAACAUGCACAUAUGUAUGUAUAUGUAAAAAUUUUAUAAAGGAUAUAUUUACUAUGGAAAUUAAUAAUUAAACAAAGCAAAACUUUGAUAACGCCCUUUGUAUUAAAAAUUGUAUGGCUUAAAGUCGUGCACAUAUGAUUUACCAAGGUACUCUGCUAUAAUAAAUCCAUGGAACGUUUGAGGAAGAUUAUAUUCGAAACUACUUCUUGUUGCUAGGGCAAACAUCAACAGCAGCAAUGGAGGAAGUAAAGAAAAAAUUGUACAAGCAAAUAAAAUGUACACGGCGUGGAGUAUGCAGAGUAUUCCAAAAUUAACCAUAAUUGAUAAAAAAAAAUAUGCUCUCUUUUGUACUAGGAUAGCGUCAUAUUAUAUAAUCCAACUUGGGAAAAUAUCAGAAUAAGUGUAGAGCCUAUGGAAGAUGACUUUCGUAACUUCCUUAGUAAAGAAAUUAUAUGUGAAUUGUAUGUUGUGUUAUA